rnacentral:tRNA from 1 species
GGAGGCGUCGCAUAGUGGCCUAGUGCAGCGGAUUGCUAAUCCGCGCCCCUAAAUGGGGCUCGUGAGUUCGAAUCUCACCGCCUCCG